rnacentral:rRNA from 1 species
AAAUUGAAGAGUUUGAUCAUGGCUCAGAUUGAACGCUGGCGGCAGGCCUAACACAUGCAAGUCGAACGGUAACAGGAAACAGCUUGCUGUUUCGCUGACGAGUGGCGGACGGGUGAGUAAUGUCUGGGAAACUGCCCGAUGGAGGGGGAUAACUACUGGAAACGGUAGCUAAUACCGCAUAACGUCGCAAGACCAAAGAGGGGGACCUUCGGGCCUCUUGCCAUCGGAUGUGCCCAGAUGGGAUUAGCUAGUAGGUGGGGUA